AACACAUGCAAGUCGAGGGGAAACGGCAUUGAGUGCUUGCACUGAAUGGACGUCGACCGGCGCACGGGUGAGUAACGCGUAUCCAACUUUCCCGUUACUGCGGGAUAACCUGCCGAAAGGCAGACUAAUACCGCAUGUUCUUCGAUGACGGCAUCAGAUUCGAAGCAAAGAUUCAUCGGUAACGGAGGGGGAUGCGUCUGAUUAGCUUGUUGGCGGGGCGACGGCCCACCAAGGCGACGAUCAGUAGGGGUUCUGAGAGGAAGGUCCCCCACAUUGGAACUGAGACACGGUCCAAACUCCUACGGGAGGCAGCAGUGAGGAAUAAUGGUCAAUGGGCGGAAGCCUGAACCAGCCAAGUAGCGUGCAGGAGGACGGCCCUACGGGUUGUAAACUGCUUUUAUGCGGGGAUAAAGUGAGGGACGUGUCCCUUUUUGCAGGUACCGCAUGAAUAAGGACCGGCUAAUUCCGUGCCAGCAGCCGCGGUAAUACGGAAGGUCCGGGCGUUAUCCGGAUUUAUUGGGUUUAAAGGGAGCGUAGGCCGGGGAUUAAGUGUGUUGUGAAAUGUAGGCGCCCAACGUCUGACUUGCAGCGCAUACUGGUUCCCUUGAGUACGCGCAACGCCGGCGGAAUUCGUCGUGUGGCGGUGAAAUGCCUAGAUAUGACGAAGAACCCCGAUUGCGAAGGCAGCCGGCGGGAGCGCAACUGACGCUGAAGCUCGAAGGUGCGGGUAUCGAACAGGAUUAGAUACCCUGGUAGUCCGCACAGUAAACGAUGGAUGCCCGCUGCUGGUACCUGGUAUCAGCGGCUAAGCGAAAGCAUUAAGCAU
rnacentral:rRNA from 1 species